AUCACGGGGUCACACCCGGUCUCGUUUCGACCCCGGAAGUUAAGCCCGCCAGCGAUCCCGGUUGUACUGCCCUCCGGGAGGGGGCGGGAAGCCGGGG
rnacentral:rRNA from 1 species